AAUAACGGAGCCAGAAAAGACAACUCAAUGUCCUAAUAGUUCAUUGCUUCGGCAGGCUGAAAGUUCUUCAGCAAGUGGUAGCGAGCUUGUUGUACCAAGUAAUAAUAUUAGCAGGUACAGUGUAGAUGAUACAGGUGACCAGUCCCAACCUGCUAUUCAGAUGGAACAGGAAGAGUUGAUCGACUCUGAUGAAGAAAAUGAAGAAAAUGUUGAGUUUGAGUGUGAGGAGAUGACUGAUUCUGAAGGAGAGGGGGGUUCGGCGUGUGAAGAAAUUGCCGAGAUGCAGAAUAAGGUGACUUUUCUCGUCUUUUUUUCCCAUUCAGUUUUAAGAUUCUAUUGGCUUAAGGGAACCACGUAUUUUUACUUAUGGCCUAAGUUAUUAAUGCUACCAUUCUAGUAAUUUUGCUCGUGGGCCUCCAUCUCUUAUUGUUACGGGUACCCGCCAAUCUUGUUCGGUAAGGGAGUCCUCAUUUGUUCCUUUUUCUGACUUUCCAUUUUCUUGUUUAUAGGAUGUUCCAUCGUUUGCAAUGAAAAGACCUGCAACAGCAGAUCUUGAUGGCAAGGAGUGUGAGCCAAAACCCACUUAUCGUCCUCAGGACAAUAUUCACAGAAUUCCUUACUUGGACGAUGCCAGUAAUUCUUCAUGGGUAAGUUUGGAUUCAUGCGCGCCAGAUCACCCUUCGCACAUUAUGUCCAAGUAUGAUGAAGGUACAAUGGACAGCAGUUUUGCUGCCAAUGACUCGCAGUCGUCUUGGCCUGUUCGCUCUUGUAAGAAGGCAAAACUGAGCACAAGGGGAGGUGCAACGCAGAAACAAGCGGUGGACAUGACGCACCAACUGAGCCUGGGUCCUCCAUCAAAUCCGACGGUGAGCAAACCCAGGAAGCGUGUAUCGGGAUCGAGUACAUGUUUGAACAUAGGAUUGACUGUAGAAAACUCCGGCAGUGAUGGCUAACAUAAAAGAUUUUCAAAUGACUCUGCACCCUUACUAACCCUAGUUUCUAGUUCUAUUACAAGUAGAAAUAGAAUUACAACUCGAAAGGGAAAAGCUAUUAAAAUUACAAGUAGAAAAGGGAAAAACUAUUAAAACUAGAAAAGCUAUUAAAAUCACAACUAGAAAAGGAAUUAAAAGUAGAAAUAGAAUUAUAUUGGGUAAUAUAUUAAGGUGACUAAUUUUAUAGAUAAAAUUUUACAAAAUAAAUGAUAUGAAAAUUGAUAAUUGAAUCAUUACUUAAGCACUAAUUAACGUGCUUAUUCCUAUUGAUGAUACAUCAUUUAGUUUGUAAAUUUUGUUUUACAAAUUUACAACUCACUAUAAUUCUUCACUACUCAUACAGGAAGGUAAGAAAAACUUGCUUUUUUGGAGGGAAUCAAAAUGACGUAAAUCCCCAAUUUUAUGACAUAGGAACAGAUUUUUGCUAUUACAAGUAGAAAUAAGAUUACAACUCGAAAGGGGAAAAGCUAUUAAAAUUACAAGUAGAAAAGGAAAAGCUAUUAAAACUAGAAAAGCUAUUAAAAUUACAACUAGAAAAGGAAUUAAAAGUAGAAAUAGAAUUAUAUUGGGUAAUAUUAAGGUGACUAAUUUUAUAGAUAAAAUUUUAAAAAAUAAAUGAUAUGAAAAUUGAUAAUUGAAUUAUUACUUAAGCACUAAUUAACGUGCUCAUUCCUAUUGAUGAUACAUUAUUUAGUUUGUAAAUUUUGUUUACAAAUUUAAUGCACAUACCAUUAUACGUGAUUCAAUUUGGAGGGGCACGUUUAUGUCCCUUGGAUUUAUUAGAAGAAAAAAAUGCCACGUUGCUUGAUUAUAAUUUAAUUUAGAGGGGCACAUUUAUUGCGGAUGAUACUGAGGGGUUGUAUGGAAGAAAAACACCCCAAAAUUGGAGAUUGAGAGACUACUAGAAGGCGAGUUCAAGAAAAAAAAAAUGGAAAACUAAUGAAAAGAACUUAAAAAUUUUUAGUUUUAAUGAUAAGGACAAAAUAAAAGGUAAAGUGAAUAAUACCAAGAUUGAUUUUUUAGUGUAAAAAUGUGAUUUUUCGUUAAAGUAAACAGUACCGAAUACUUUUUAUUAAAGUUCCUUGAAAAAAAAACAGCAGGAAUCGAGAUCGAGAGAGAAACAUGGCGAGGAAUAGUGUCAGUGGCCUUUGGAUGCGACAGACUUUGCUUGGAAGUGGAAACGGCAUAGGCAAUGGCUCCUUCCAAACCCAAGGUCUCGGUCGUCUUGACAAUCCCAAGUUUUUUCCAAAUUGUAUCCAAACCCUAAAAGCCCUAAAUUGGAUCUCAACCGCACCGCCUCUAUCCCCCUCGAUUCAUAUUAUUUCCACUCCCAAAUCACCCGUCUUUCUCGAUUCCCUGCAUUUUCUGCAACACCGACGACGGCUGUCCUCAGCCCCGGCCCCGGCCCAGGCCCAGUUCCAGUCCCCGUCCCCGUUUCCAGCUCCCCGAGGUAACCCCUUUCUCUUUCUCUUCCGAUGAUGUUGUUGUUGCCACUGAGACUGCUGUGCUAUUUUUAUAGAAAUUAAAUUUCCAAGUCCCGCGGCCAUGGUCAUCUUGCGGGAAGAGGACGAAUAUCGGAGAGCAAUUCGAAAAGUUAAAGGUAUUCCUCAUUUUUCCACUGCAUCGUCAUCUUAUUUAUUAGGCCUUUUUUUGCUUCGGCUGCGUAGCAAAAGGAAGAAUAUCCACCAAAACUACUGGUUAGGUCAAACUAAAAAUUCACUGGCAAUACGCAGAUUCCAGCUCCACAGUUCACUCAACCGAUUCCGGUUUACACAGUCCUAACUUUUGCUUGUAUUCAUUUUCAAACUGCUGUAUUUUUUCCCCUUACAUGUAAUAUUAUACAUGCAGUUUUAAAUAAUCAUUAUUAUUAAUUUUUGAAUUUUGAUAGAUGAACAACUGCCAGCAGUUUUCUACUUUGUUAGGCACGAUGCUCAAAGUUGUAAGUUCUAAUGAACAAUUUUAUGAAUCAAUUUAUUUGUUCUAAACUGCUCCUUUGCAACUUAUAUAUGGACUCUUCUUUUUCAGGCUUUCUUUUUGGAUCUCCAACCACUCGAAAGAUGAGGGAACAAUUCCCACAUGUAACAGUGUAUAAGUUUGUGUCUGAUAUACAGGUAUGGUGUUGUAAUCCGGCCUUCUGUUGCCUUGGAUCCUUUGAUAACUAGUUAAGUCAUAUUCCCAUUUUAAGGUUAAGAAGAAAACAAAGUGUUGUCUUUUUUCAAAUUCUAGUUAUGGAUCUUAAGAUUAAUGAAUUUCUAUGUUGUAGUCGUAACAUUUUAUAACUCUGCAGAACUGGCACCCACUGGCAGGACUGAUGGGUGUUAGCUCUCUGGUAAAUGAUUGUAUCCCCCUCCUUUUUAUUUUUCUUAAAAAAAAUGUGCAUGCUUACUUCGUUAAUAUGAUUGUUCAUCUUGUUUUUCUUAAUAAAUACUUUGGUGUUUAUGUGUCCAUUCUGCUGCAGCCAACAUUCCAUUUCUAUCAAAAUGGGAAAAAGGUGGAUGAGAUUUUUCCCAGUCCCUAUCUAAAUAGGCGGUCAGAUGAAUCUGAGAUUCCCAGCCUCGUGCUAGAUACUUGUGAAAAACUCUACAGGUAGUUCUUUUCUAAAUAACUUCACCGUUGCAUGCUUCUGCUGCAUAAUUGCGAGUGCAGUCUGAUAUUGGUGGCUGCCGGCUGAGGUUUUUGUUUUUCCUUUUCUUUUUUUUAUGGUUCAAGUGAAGUUCCCUCUGAAUGUGCUCCCUAUGUUGAUUUUUUUUUUUCACUGGAAGGUACGUCAUCCAGGUUGAAAAACCUCACCCUAUGGGCUCAUCUGGGAAAGGGAAGGGCAAAAGGAAGAGUACUUAUCAACAACUUGUCGUGCAAGCUAAGACUGAUGCAAACGAAAAUGACAAAGUAGUUGCUUUAGGAGGGGGGAGAGCGGGUGAUGCAUCGACAUCAUCAGAACAGAGAUGGCCGUGUUGAAGCAGUAUAUAGUAGUGGCAGUGCACCUUCACUUGAUAAAGCGAUGAGGGCUGUAUCAGCUAACCCCUAUUGUUAUGAACAUAGCGAUCUGUGGUGGUAUGCAAAAGGGUUAUUGAAAGCUAACCCUCAGAAGAGAGCAACGCUACUGAAGGUGGGGACACGUGAGGUUAGUUGGCUACGAAGUCACAUGUCCGAGGAUUAAGUUGGCCUUGGAUUGGACCGGAUAGGAUGCGCUUAAAAUUUGAUACUCAUUAUAUCUAAAUAGGCCGUCAGAUGAAUCUGAGAUUCCCAACCUCGUGCUAGAUACUUUUGAAAAACUCUACAGGUAGUUAUUUUCUAAAUAACUUCACAGUUGCAUGCUUCUGCUGCAUAAUUGCGAGUGCAGUCCGAUACUGGUGGCUGCCGGCUGAGGUUUUUGUUUUUUUUUUUUAAUGGUUCAAGUGAAGUUUCCUCUGAAUGCGAUCUGCCUUUGUUGAUUUUUUUUUUUUUUUUUUUUUUUUCAUCACUGGAAGGCACGUCAUCCACCCUAUGGGCUCAUCUGGGAAAGGGAAGGGAAAAAGGAAGAGCACUUAUCAGCAACUUGUCGUGCAAGCUAAUACUGAUGCAAACGAAAAUGACAAAGUAGUUGCUUUAGGAGGGGGGAGAGUGGGUGAUGCAUCGACAUCAUCAGAACAGAGUGAUGGCCCUGUUGAAGCAGUAUAUAGUAGUGGCAGUGCACCUUCCCUUGAUGAAGCGAUGAGGGCUGUAUCAGCUAACCCCUAUUGUUAUGAACAUGGCGAUCUGUGGUGGUAUGCAAAAGGGGUAUUAAAAGCUAACCCUGGGAAGAGAGCAACGCUACUGAAGGUGGGGACACGUAAGGUUAGUUGGCUACGAAGUCAAAUGUCUGAGGAUUAAGUUGGCCUUGGAUUGGACCGGAUAGGAUGCGCUUAAAAUUUGAUACUCAUUAUAUUUAUGCUGGUCGCGUUGUGGUUCAUGACAGUGACUAUUAUGCUUGUUUAAAUUUGGUCUUAUGUUGUGCUCAUAUUCAGAUAAUCGUCGUACUACGAUGGACUAUUGUUGGAUAUUUGUCAUACAUAUGUUUAUGUUUAUGUUUGCAGUUUUGUGUUUCCUAUGUUUAAUAAGUAUUCCUAUUUCAACUUCGCAUGCAUAUUAGUACUCGUUUCAUGUUAUGUACUACGAUGGACUACAAGACUCAUUUAAUUAAAAUGAAAAUAAUAUACACACAUACGAUGGAACAACAUAAAAAGGGAUGUACUAGGACUAUCUACAACAACAACAAAGUUUUUUUUCAGUAAGUGGGGUCGGCUGUAUGAAUCUUUGAACGCUAUUGCAGAAGACUCCUUAGAAAAGGAGAAGAUAAGGAUAGCUCUUACAUGGAGCAAGAAGAGACAUGUUCCAAUAAGUAAGAACUAGCUAUCUAGCCAAAAUGGAUACCAAAAAAUCUACCAACAACCAAGAUGAAGGGGCUAUUCCCUUUGGGAUACCUUGGGCCUAAGAAGCCUUUAGGAUAUUGACUAGAGAGGGAGGGGGCACACAGUCCCAUUCGAAGAGCACGACCCUCUGUAUCGCCAGCAAUGUCGCUGCUUGAGCUGCUUUGUUUGCUGACCUAGGAAUCCAUUUCCAAUGACGAGAAGAGAACGAGCAAGCAUGUCUCCUUGUUUCUUCCACGAUUGGAAUGAUUUUCCACAUACCUUCCAAGUUUCUUUUCUAAAUUAUUUCCAUAACAUUUUUGCAAUCAUCUUCCAAAACCACUAGCUGCUGAUAAGAAUUCCAAUUCCAUAACAUUUUUACUAAUUUUAGCAACAGACAAACGGUGUUUGUGGUUGACUUGGACAUGAUUCAGAAUAGAAUAAUUUGUUGUUGUUUGAGAAACUCGUUUUACAUCGGUGUGUAAUCAACAGUCCAGAUUUGACACCCGAAAAACUCCAAAACCAACACAAAUCAACAGUCCAGAUUUGACACCCGUACUAAUUAAUUAAUCAACACUAGCAUUACACACGUGAUUGAAUUCAGCUAAAAGCACAUCAUAAUAACACGAACAUUUUUUAAUGAUUACUUCGACACAAGUCAUAUUUCACAUGUUAUAAUAAGAACGGAUUAUAUCGCUAAUAUGCCUUGUAUCUUGGUCUAUUAAUAAAAUAAAACUAAAUGCUCUAAGCUCUUUAAAUGGAAUAAUAAUAAUAAUGUUGGUGCCAUGUCCUAGAUACACCACAAAAUUUUCCUUGUUAUUUUAUGAAACAUAUCAAUCAAGAUCUUUGAUAUUUAAUUAAUUAAUUAACGGAUAGGCUCAGUCUUCGAGAUGGGUUGCUGAUCAGUGGGGAUUAUAAUUUUUGUGCGUGUGCUCGAAGGAGCAAGAAGGAAGCAGCAGAACAAACAUUCUUCUGCCACGGAGGUUUCUAUUCAUGCACGGAGGCCGCUCAGUUGCAGAGGACUUUUCCAACCGGGAAGAAGCAUCUUAAAGCUCCAACCUUCCACUGGUUCUCACCCCAUGGAAGGGUUAGACAUUUCUUAUAUAAAUUUGUAUACAUAUAUGCGUCUGUAUGUGUGAAUUUUCUACUUAUUGUUCUAAUAUUUCUCUCAUUGGGUAUUUUUUUUUAAAUUUUUUCUACGCCCACCCCGUGCAUCGAACCUAGGACCUAUACUACCCCACCCCUUUACCCACUUUUGGUGGGGCAUUGGUUGGAGAUUUUGUAAAAGUGGAAGCUUUUUGGGUGAAACUCAUGUUCUUAUUCUUAGUGGGUACUCCCUAAUCUUACUGUAGAUAGGAUUUCUGCAUAACAGUGGAAGGUGGAAUGGACCUCUUUGCAUUUGAAGAUUUCUUGCUUGAGCAGAAGCGUAAAGAACAAGAGACAAUUGUGAAGGAGCAAGCUGAGAGAGAAGGGCAAGCAGAAGAGCAGAGGCGAAUUGAAGCGGAGAAGGCAGCAAGUGAAGCUGACAGAGCACAUGCAGAGGCAGAUAUCUUAAAGAGACGACAAAUGGUGCAAGAGUGCUCAUUCUAGGUCUUAUAUCUGGCAUUUGCCUGCCUAUUUUGGAGAUGAUUACUGGAUGUUUUUUAAAAACACAGAUUUUUUCUCUUUCUUGUUUUUUUUUUUUUUUUUCCAUUCUGUUGUCCAUGAUUCAUGCAUUUAGUUGUUCUUAUUCAACAUGAGCUUCAUAAUAAUUUGGUUCUAAAUUGCUAAAUGUCUGUGUUCUUCUGAUAUAUGCGAAGGAGUUUCACUGUAACAGAAGCUUCUCUUGGGGAGGAACGGAAAUAAAAGUUUGGUUUGGGAAAGUGGAAGGUGUUUCGAUCUACUUUUGGAGCCUCAAAACGGGUAAUUUCCUCUUUCACGUCCUUCAAAAUCACGUGUUUCUAAUGUACUUAUCAGGUUUACUACCUUUUGUUUUCUUUUUAAUGGUUGAUAUAUAUUUACACUUUUUAUAUCUGGCAAUUGAUUCUACUGUAAUUUGUAAACAAGAAUGCCAUUGUGCCAGAUGCAGCAAUUUGUUGUUUACAACAAAUGUUUUCUAUUUCUUUUUCUCUUUGCAGAUUCUUUUAUGCAGGUUGCAUAUAUGGCUGUAAAAAUGAUGCAGAGAGAUUUGGUUUCUUUUGCCAUGCUGCGCUACAAGUACUACUCCAAAGUGGAUUUCAUCCUGUGAGUACUCGUGAUACAAUUGCUUAUUUUAGAAUUUAUUAAUUUCACAGGAAAAAGUGGCACAACAUCAGAUGUCUUCAAAUUAGUGGUCCUCCUUAUUCGGUGGAAGAAAGGAGGAAGCAUAGCAAAAAUGAAUACGCAGUUUAUAUGCCACCUUGUACUACAAAUGAAUUAAGUCAUAAAAGUAUGGCAGUGAUGUUGCUGCCUACUCUUACACAUGCAUGUGUAUUUUUACGGACAUGGGUAAGUGAAAACUACCUACGGGAAGCAAGUUGAGUAAGGUCAAUUGCACAAAAAAUAGAGCUAUGCAUAUUAUUUCGUAUGCAUCGGUGCGUUUGUUGGGCCAAAUCAGCUUUUCUCUGUCUUCUCUAAACACUUGUAUGUGCAGAAGAUUUUGAUUGUUCGUUUCAGACUGAAGUUUUUUGAAAUUCAUUAAUCGGAUUUUUAGGAUAUCUAUUUGAAAUUGGUGCUUUAUGAUGACAGGAUGUCAUUCAUUGCCAUGUCUCUGUUGCCUGGUUAUGGUCUUAGUAAAGCUGGGGUUUUUUCACAAUUCACAACCUUGAGUUUGGAGCGCACUUCAUUGGUAAAGCUGUGGCGUAUUCAAACAAGUACACAAAUUCCUGAGACUGAACUAAAGUUUUCAGUUUUCGAUCUCCUAAAGCAUAAUUUGCUUUGUGAAUACUAGUAGCAGACUUUUCAACUGUAAUUACCAACUGUAUCUUAUCAACUGUUUCACCCAUAUCUCUAUCUUCAGGUAUCCAACACUAACGCUAAGGAGGUAACUGGAAAUCCUGCAGUCGCUCCACAUCUUUACAAGUUUCAUGGUUUAAUAAAUGGAAUUGACCAUGAUAUAUGAGAUCCAUACAAUGAUAAGUUCAUUCCUGUAAGUAAACAAUAUUUCUCUGUGCUCCUCGCUUUAGUCAUUCUAAACUUCUAUUGAGUUUUUUUUUUCAUAUAUGUUUCUUGAAAAGUAUUAAGCUGUUUGCCAAAUUCUCUUAACUACUCUCAAUACAGCUGUGUCGGACUCAUAUGAUGUUAUAUCGUUCCAGAUAUCAUAUACUUCUGAAAAUGUUUUUGAAGGCAAACAAGCUGCCAAGCAAGCCUUCCAACAGAGGCUUGGUCUGAAAACAUCUCUAUAAACUCUUAUCCCCUCCUAUUUUGUGCGAUCACGGUUAAACCACGUCAAUAUUUUAUAUUAAUAUUGUUUUUAUCUUAUUAUCUCUAUAAAAAAAUCAAUAUAAAAUGUUGACGUGGCUUAACCGUAACCGCACACAAUAAGAGAGGAUGGAAGUGUAUGGAAAGUGGGAGGGCAGAGAAGCCGGGUCCGGGUGAGAACCUGCCAGGAACAUGGGGUUGAUCAGAGAGAAUCCAGUUAUUUUGAUCGUCAAGGAUAUUGACGAUCUAAAAGAAUAAAAACCAAAAGCUUUAGAAUGCCAAUUAAGCUAAGCUAACGAUAAAUUUGGAAUUUGGAAGGAAAUCAGCUGCUUAAUGUUUGUACAAGACGAAAUUUGAUGCAAGCCAUGAGAGUUAAUACGUGUUCUAAUUUGAGUUGAGAAUAAACAGAUAGAUCAAUACGUGUUCUAAUCUGAAAAUUCAGCAGCCACCCCUGCUUACGCCCAAUUCCGGGUGGACACGUGUUCAAGUUUUGAUUUUUUUAAUCAAAAUUUGAACACGUGUCCACACAGGAUUGGAUGUAAGCAGGAGUGGCUGCUGAAUUGUUCACCAAUCAAGUUAAUUCCAACUGCUGGCAGUUGUCCAUCUAUCAAAAUUCAAAUAAUAAUAAUAAUGAUAAUUUAAAACUGCAUAUAUAAUAUUACAUGUAAGGGUAAAAAAAACAGCAGUUUGAAAAUGAAUACAAUCAAAAUUUAGGACUGUGUGUAAACAAAGAUAUUGACGAUCUGAAAUAAUAAAAACCAAAAACUAAAGAAAGCCAUUUAAGCCUAAGCUAACGGUAAAUUUGUAAUUUGGAGGGAAAUCAGCUGCUUAAUAUUUGUACAAGAAGAAAUUUGACGUGAGCCAUGAAGGAGUAUGAAUCUCUCCCCUCCUAAUCUCUCCCCUUCCAUCCUCUCAUAUUUAAACGGUUAUGAUUACGUCACGUCUACAUCUUGUUUUGAAAAUUUUAUAUAGAUAAUAAGACAAAAAGAAGAGUGUGAGUGGAGGGGAUGGAAGGAGAUAAUAAUAGGAGGAGAGAGAAUCUUACUCCCUUUUACAGUCAGCCAAGCAAUUGCAAAACUUCACCAAUCUUCUAUGCACAAGUUCACGUAAUGCAAAUUCAAAGUCUACCAUUUAACCACUUAGUAUUACUGUAUAAUGGUAUUUAGCUUCAAUAGCCUGUUAGGCCACCAUCUAAAGAGAGUUAGGUCAUCUCCAACCGAAGGGUCCAUAGGGCCAAAUGGCCAAAAAUAGCCCGAAAACGAAACCAGGCCAAAUGGCUCGUGGGCCCCAGUGUAUAAAAAAGGGUCAAAGUGCCAACCUGCCGGCCCGGGCCGGGCCACUUUUUUUUUUUUUUUGUUUUUACAAAAUUUGUUGUAGUUGUUUUAUAGUUUGUUUAAGUUGUUGUAGUUUUUAAAUUUAAAUAAUAAUUAUGUUUGACCUAUGAUCCUUUGUCCCUUUGUUGGAGAUCCCUUUUUUUACAGGACUAUGUUUGGCCUAUGGCCCUCUGGCCCCUUGGUUGGAGAUGAUAGGAAAUAUGGUAAUGUAUUGUUCAUUAAAAUAUUAAUUUCUUGAAGAAUCAGAUGACUAAAACGAGCCAUCUGGCCAAUCUUUGUUUGGAGAUGAUCUUAACCCCCAACCUAGCCCUAUCCUUUUUUGAGCUGGUGGUCUAUGUCAAUAUAUAUUUGUCAAAUCCGUAUGCAGACGUGGGUAAGUGGUGACCAAAACAAUGAUGGCCCUGAGAUCCGUUUGCCACUCGAUCGAUACAUAUAUAUGCAUGGAACAUUCAUGAUAACUAACAUAUAGUCCUAUCCUAAAGCCAAAAGUAUAUGCUCAUCUAGGGUUAAGAGAAAUUAUUGAGGCAAAAUUUUCUUUUACGACACCAGAUAACAAUCUUGCUCAUUGAUGGAUUCAUGCUUCCAUCAUUGCAGUCCCAACAUAAAAACAAAACAAAAAUAUUGGACAAAAUUAACAUUGAAAUAUUUGGUAUCGGUGUAAGACAAUGAUUUUCGUCUAUAAUAUUAUUCCAUACUUUAAUUUCUACACAUAUUUAUUAAUGAAACUAAGACAUAUCAAUUAACAAAGAAGGGAAAUAUAUACAAAUUAACAACCAACAAAUGGUUUAUUUAUAAUAUAUUUAUUUUACUUUUUAAAAUUCUUAAAAUACCCUACUCAUCUUACUUAAUGACAAAAAGAGUACAAAAUUGUCACGCGUUCUAAAUUUAAAUCAUAUUUUAUUUUUAACACUAAAGUUACGAUUGUAGUUUGUUUUUCUUGUUUUGCAAGUUUACUCUCGGUUUUUCACACUUGUGCAACUACUAGUUAUUUGAGUACCGAUGGAUCUUUGGGAACUAAAUCCUACUUGCUAUUCAAUCAAACAUAUGCCUCCUUUACUUAAUUGAUAAAGGUAAAAGUCUGUGCAUCCAAUCCUACGGUACAUCGCUCAAGAUCUUUGUUUUUCCUCCAAUAUGUAUCCACACUAAGAAUGAGACUAUGCGCAACUUAGGUGACAAUGUGAAAAAGCAUCCAAUCGUUUUAAACCAUAAUAUAUAAGCUGUUGAGUUUGAAAAUAACAGAGACUUUCGAACUAUCAUAAUAACAAAAUCGGUUCUACUCAUUAAGUUAAACAUAAUAAAAAAUCUAUUCUACUAUUCUACUCAGUCACCCAAACUUGGCCAGAUCAUCUUCAACUCAAAAUCUCUCCUCGUUGCUAAUCAUCAAAAUCAUCAAACUUUGCUCCCCAAAAUUUGACCCAGGUAAAGAUUCAGCUACCUCCAUCACUUUAGGCACUUCCACAACUUGACAAAGUUCAAAUGUGGAUGCAAAGCAUAGAUGCACACAAGAAUUGCAUCCGCAUGGCCAGAAUAAUGCACAAUCACAUCAUUAUCAAUUUGACUUGCAGUCAAAUAAUGAGAAUUUUGCUCCCCAAGAUUCCUUGCCAUUAUAAGAUAUUGUAUUGGGUCCUCCUGCUGCCUAUUCCAGCGGCUAGUAUUACUCCCACCCCCAUACGUUCCACCUAAUGAGGUUUUCCAUGGGACAGCUUGGACACGCUGACAAAUUGGAUCAUUAUUCCAAUAGUUCUCUAAUUUGGUUUUAUUUGCCAACCUUACCGGGCCUUCCAAUAUGUUGCGAACAACAUAAGUCCGGUAGCUUAUCCUUUCUUCAGAUCCCAUUUGAGAGUAAUGAUUAUCCAGCAGGUAUUUCAACGACCUAAAAAAAAAGAAACUAAAUAUAUUAAUUUUGCUUGUAGUCAAAGCCUACAAAAACAACAAAAAAAAAAAAAUACAUAAAUCACAUAAGAAUUAUAUGCAUACUCACAAUGAUUUUUGAUCAAUUUGUGUCAGGAGUUCCUCAAGACAAACUGGGAGAGUUCCAACGAACAUUUCAGUUAAUGUCGCUUUUAAAGCAUCCAAAUCACUCGAGUCCUUGGCACUUGAGUCCUUCCUAAACAUAACACCGACAACCUUCCUACCAGUCCAAUAUAAAUUUUCAAAGUGGAUAUGUCUAAAAUCUUUUUUAUCAGAACUGUAUUUCGAAAAGAUCUCCAGAACACCCUUCACUAUAUGGCGUAUCUCUGGUAUAAUUACAGUUGGAUUCUGUAAUUCGAAUUUGUUUGGAAAACGACCUAAAUAGUCUUUGAGAGAACACUCUACCCUCUCAGUAAAAAAUAAAGACUCAUGCCCACUGCUCUGAACAGAAAAAUGUAUGCUAAGAAAAUUAUCAGAUAUAAAGUGGACAGAGUCAGACUUCCAUUGCAUAAUAUCUUUUAUGUUACAGAGUUUAAAGAUGGACAUUGACUUGCCAUGAAGUCUUCCAUUGAAGACUGUGUGACUCAAGGUUGUGUGCACAUGUGCUUCAAUGGAAUACGAAAAUAUGCAGGAAAAACUGGUGAUACAUCGAACUGCAGGAAGAGAGAAUACACAUAAAAAAAAAAUAUAAAAUCUUCAGAAUAUAAAAGUUUCACAGAAAUGAUUAGGGUUCAUAGGAAAGUUAAAAUUGAUACCUGGUUGCUGGGGUAUGGUUGGGAGCUGCGGUAGGGUUAGGGUUGGGACCCUGGAUGCAAAAUGCCCAGCACAAGCAGCACACAUCCUCUGCUUCAACGUCAAAAAUCCAUAUCCAAGAUUUCUCUUCAUUUUCUUCUUCUUUCUCUUUUGUAUCUCGUUUUUUUUUUCUGGAGAGAGGUCCUUCCCUUUACUGGGGAGAGAGUUGGUGCGUGCAGCUAGGGGAUGUAGAAGGCCAACAUGGCUUUAUUUCAAUUGGGCUUUACUAUAGCCUGUUUUGGACUGCCCAUAAUGAAUGUUGGAUGAUGGAUGGAUGAAAAUGGAGCUGAGGUUUCAUCUUUUUUAUGCAAAAAAAAAAAAAAUGAAACUACAUGGUUUAACCACAUCAGAUUGCAAUCAUCUGCACGAACACGAACACAAUUAAUUAUUUAUAAUUCGAAAAAAAAGAAAUUAAAGCAACUCAUAAAACAGAAAGAGAAGAGAAGAAAAGAGUAUAUUUGUACCUAGCCGAAAUUGAUUAAAUAAAUCAAUAUAAUUUCAAAUCCAAUCGAUCCAAGAUGAAGGAUAUUCGUCAACCAUUUUAUGACGAUGUUGGGGAUGAAAGUUAAGGGAUUUGAUAAAUGGAACACCUUAUAAAACCUAAGGAAGGUAUGAGCGAAGAAAUCAGAGAGUUCAAGUUUGGGUUUGCCUUUUUGGGGGUUGGUCUGUGGAUUUUACUACGAAGAGAAAGGGAGGUGUGAGGGAAGAAAUCAGAGAGUUCAAGUUUGGGUUUGCCUUUUUGGGGGCUGGUCUGAGGAUUUUACUACGAAGAGAAAGGGCAUAAGUGAGAAAUCUGAGACGGCUGCAGAGCUUGCGAACAAGAGGAAAAGAAGUUCAAAGUACAAUCUUAGUUCCCUAAAGGCUAUCUAUCCCCACCCAACCCUAAAGCCCCUUUUAUUUUAGAGUCAAUUGUAGCAAUGAACUCUGAACUUUAAUCAAAUUUGAACAAUGAUCCCUCAACUAAAAAUCUGUUACCAUUGGUCCCUCAACUUAUCAAAAUGUGCAGCUAUAAUCCUUUUCAUCAAUUUCUUCAAAAUUUUGUCAAAAUAUGUUAUGUUGGAAUAAUCAUUUAUAUAAUUAGAGUCCCUCAACUCAUCAAAGUGUGUAAUUAUGAUCCUUUUUGUCAACUAUGUAAAAUUUUUUGUCAAAACGAGUUAUGUUGGAAUGACCAUUGCUACAAAUAUGAUUGCCAUAUGGAAAGUCAUUGUCCCACAUAGAUAUCCAUCCUUGUUGCCUCGGCAAUGGCGUAUUGCUAUUGGGACUCAGAAGUCAUAUAAGGUUGAUGAAUCGAAAAAGGAGAAGAGGCGAUUAUAUGAAUAAAAAAGAAGGACAAAAUGCAGAUUUGUCUAGUUGGCAAAAUUCACCCGAGAAAGAGGUAUGAUUUCCCUUGAACUUAGAACAUUGUGUUGGCAAUUCUAUUUGCUUUGAUUUUGUAGUUUUGAGUUAUUCUUUUAUGAUGGAUAUAAGAAUAAAACAUUGUGUUGGCUGUCGAACUGCUCAUAUUAGAGAAAAGGGUGUGGCUAGACUUAUUGCUAAGUAUAUCCUUUGCUUCCUAAAUAUUGAUGAAUGUAUUGAGGCUUAGGAAUUGUAGGGUAUGUAGAAUUUUUUGAACUUUAAGAUAAAAAGUAAUUACAAAAUGUAAGAAUUAGAACGUUUGGUACGAUUUGUUUCUAAAAGUUACAAUAAAGUGCAUCGUACAUUUUUUAAGUUUGUCAAUUUAGCAUAGAUGUGGGUAAAUGUGCGCCAAGUCCAAUUUUACUUAUUUUUCAGAAAUGUAGAAAAAGAUUCAUUUGGAACUUUUCUUUGCACACACCUAUAGUUUAGCUGAGUGUGGAUUAUAGAUGAUUGAAAGCCCAUUAAAUGGAUGGUGAUUUUAUUUUAAAGUUUGGUACUGAUGCAGGACUGCCAAGCUGAAAAGUCUGGUGGAGAGAACAACGCAGAUGGUUUGACCGAGAAUAAUGCAGGUGAAACUUAUGUUCAUGAGGCCUUUUUAGCAGACUGGAGACCGGGUAUUUCCUGUGUAGAAAGAAGCCCUAAUAGUGGUACCCUAUCCAGAGGUGCUAACCAUGAAUGGGUAGAUGUUUUUGGGCGUAAGGAAGUUCUUCGAGCCCAGACCGUGUCACAGUGUCCACAUGGUCAAUCUCAAAUCACUGGUGUUAGACAUUUUGCAUCCAGUACCACACAAGCGAAUCAUUCGGUUUCUCAACUCUAUCAUCGGCCGUAUCGAGCUCGUAGAACUAAUGGCGCACAACUGGUUAAGCUAACUCCGGAAUUGCUCCUGUGAAUCUUCCACCAUCUGUUCGUGUAGUCUCACAAUCUGCCUUCAGAGGCUCUUUACGUGGGGCAUCUUCCACAGUUUCUGCUUCUGGAGGUGGUAGUGGUGCUGCUGCAACUCACAAUCCCUUUUCUCAAUCUAAAGUUGGAAGGUUCGGGACCUCUGAUGCCAUAACAGCUACACAGAAUAAAAGUAGUUCUCUGAAAGACAGUGUUUUGACGUUGCAUCCAGAAGAUUCUAGAAUUAUCAAGGAUAAAUGUGUAAAGGAAGGAAGAGAUGUUGAUUCUGAUCUUCAGAUGCAUCCUCUGCUGUUCCAGGCCCCAGAAGAUGGACGUCUGUCCUAUUUCCCGUUGAACUGCAGCAACAGCAAUUCUAGUCCUUUCAGUUUUCUUUCAGCAAAUCAGCCUCAGCUACAUUUAAGCCUUUUUUCAUAAUCCUCAACAAGGAAGCCAUGUUGAUGGUUUUGACAAAUCACUGAAGUCACCCAACUCAACAUCUCGUGCCAUUGAUUUCCAUCCACUGAUGCAAAGAACUGAUUAUGUAAGUAGUGCCAAAGUAACAACAUGCUCAACUGCACCCCUUUCUGCUGGUUCAGGGGGAAACCGUUCUCAAGACCAAUAUCCUUGUGAUACUGGUUCAACUCAGUUGUCGGUCAAUGCUGAUCCACAGGCUAUGGGCACUAAUGAGAGAGCUAAUGAACUGGACUUGGAGAUCCACCUAAGUUCUACAUCUAAAAAGGAAAAAGCUUCAAAAAGGAGAGAUGUCACUGUUAAUAAUUCAGUUAAAUCAAGAAUAAUGGCUCCAGAAAAGACAACUCAAUGUCCUAAUGGUUCAUUGCUUCGGCAGGCUGAAAGUUCUUCAGCUCGUGGUAGCGAGCUUGUUGUACCAAGUAAUAAUAUUAGCAGGUACAAAGUAGAUGAUACAGGUGACCAGUCCCAACCUGAUAUUCAGAUGGAACAGGAAGAGUUGAGCGACUCUGAUGAAGAAAAUGAAGAAAAUGUUGAGUUUGAGUGUGAGGAGAUGACUGAUUCUGAAGGAGAGGGGGGAUCGGCGUGUGAAGAAAUAUUUGAGAUGCAGAAUAAGG
rnacentral:lncRNA from 1 species